UGCAGAGGUCCCAAGCGUUGUUCGGAUUCACUGGGCGUAAAGGGUGCGUAGGCGGUCGGGUAAGUCUGAUGUGAAAUCUCACAGCUUAACUGUGAAACUGCAUUGGAUACUAUCCGGCUAGAGGAAUGGAGGGGAGACUGGAAUACUUGGUGUAGCAGUGAAAUGCGUAGAUAUCAAGUGGAACACCAGUGGCGAAGGCGAGUCUCUGGACAUUUCCUGACGCUGAGGCACGAAAGCCAGGGGAGCAAACGGG
rnacentral:rRNA from 1 species